GACGAACGCUGGCGGCGUGCUUAACACAUGCAAGUCGAACGGAAAGACCCUGCUAUUGUGGUUUGCUCGAGUGGCGAACGGGUGUGUAACACGUGGGUAACCUGCCCUUGACUUUGGGAUAACUUCACGAAACUGUGGCUAAUACCAGAUAGGAGCACCUGCUGAAUGAAUGGUGUUGGAAAGUUUCAGCGGGUGGGGAUGGACUCGCGUCUUAUCAGCUUGUGGGUGGGGUAGUGGAUUACCAAGACUUUGACGGGUAGCAGGCCUGAGAGGGUGACCGGACACAUUGGAACUGAGAUACGGCACAGACUACUCCGGGACGCAGCAGUGGGGAAUAUUGCACAAUGGGAGGAAGCCUAAUGCAGUAACGCCGCGCGGGGGAUGACGACAUUGGGGUUGUAACCCGCUUUCGCCUGUGACGAAGAGUGAGUGACGGUAAUGGGUAAAGAAGCCCCGGCUAACUACGUG
rnacentral:rRNA from 1 species